GGAGAGGUGGCAGAGUGGCCGAUCGCGCCUCCUUGCUAAGGAGGUGUACCCGAAAGGGUACCGAGGGUUCGAAUCCCUCCCUCUCCGCCA
rnacentral:tRNA from 1 species